GCAGCCGGAGUUGUUUUCCAGGAACUUGGAGUCAGCUGGUCUUGUUUGAGCUGAUCUGGUUAGGACGGCAUAGGACCCCAAACCCUUCAACUGGGCAUGCGUGAGUUUUUGUUGCGCGCUCUUUGGACCAUGCAGGGGCCCGUAGCUUAGUCACGCCUGCGCAGAACCAUGCUUACCGCAGCUGUUUGCAGGCGUCUCGCCUUUCGCUCCUCGCGCCUCAAGCCGCGCUGACGCGUUGUUUCUUAUCCACGGUUGCUCCAGGCCCCUUGCUCUUCGGAGGUGAAAUUGUGGCUUGUCUCCCUGCUUGGCUGCUUUGCGGAUAAAGCCUCUCUUUGCUGGAGACCUGGGAGUCAGCGUUUUGGCUUGCUGUGCUUUAGGCAAGUGAAAUGGAAUAUAGUAUCAUUAGGUGAAGGUGAUCGUGGAAAAGGAGGUCUUGGAAAUGUGCAGAGAAAGAAUUAUAAACUAGUCCCCGAGGAGAGACUGGACAGGGAAAUAUAGCAUGACUGCUGAACAGCAUUAGGAUCACAUGAGGUGAAUGUGCAACUACGCCAGUUCUGAGAAGAUACUUUAAGAAUAAUCUUUCGUUUCCACUCACUCUCUCAUGUACCUGCCAUCCACCAUGAGAAGAGUGUGGUCUAGCAAGCUGCUGCUACUUCAGCCUGGACCUCAGAAUGAUAAACCUAUGAAGUAUAACUGAGCCUGACCUGUAGCCUGAAAUAGAGCUGCCACAGCCAACUCACAAACGCAUGAGAAAGAAAGGUUGUAGACAACUGAAAUUUAGAGCAAAAGUUGACUCAUCAAUUGUAGUUCUCAGAAUGGAUCUGAAAGUCACACUACAGAACCAAGUCAUCAAGGGAAAGCGCCUGGAAUCUACCACAUAACAUUUUCACUAUACCCUGUUGACCAGAAUUUAUUUACAUGUCAACGAUCAGCUGCAAGGGAUCGUUCUGGGAGGUCAUUUGCCCUGUUCAUUUCAUAAUGCUGUAAAAGAAGAGAAUGAUCCUAAACAUCAACUAGUUACAAUUCAGUGAGAGAUUACAUUUAAAAUUAGUUAAGAUAGAUGUAUUUUUUAAAAGGCAAAGCACAUGAAUGACAAACUGAAAAGAACUAUGGUCAACAGGUUUUAACAGUGAUGAAAGAAAUACAGUACAAUGUAAAUAGGGUAUCAUUGGUUUGAAAUAUAUAUCUAGAUCUAGUUCUAAACAUAUCACCCCAGAUUGGGGAUAAUAAAAUUAUGAAUGAUCGUCUGUAUAAAUACAGAUCACAUUAAAAAAGAUGAAAAGGACAUUUGCAAAAAAAAUCUUUAAAAUGAAACACUGCCAGUGGAAUGGUAUUUAAUUGAAUAAAAAAAUACCUUAUUUAGUGCAGUUUGGCAAUAUAUGUCACAACUAUUCAGAGCCUUAACCUAGUAGUUACAUUUCUAGGAAUUUGUCUUAGAUGAAUUAUGAGAAUUAUGAAUAUGAGUUCUUAUAAAAGAAGCUUAAUACAAGGCAAAUUGUAACACUGAAUAUUUUGUAACACCACUAAAUGUCCAACAAGACUGGGAGAACAAGUUAUCCUUUAUUCAUUCCAUUGAAUAUUAUCAGGAGUUGGCAAAAUAAAGUUAUAAAGAAAUGCAUGUUUUGUAAACCAUAAUACCAGUAUUUGAAUCACUACUCUAGUACUUAUUAGCAGUAUGAUCAGCAGCAAGUUAGUUAUUCUUUUAAAGACUUAGUUUUCUUAUAUCUAAAAUAAAGAUA